AUUGAACGCUGGCGGCAUGCCUUACACAUGCAAGUCGAACGGUAACAGGUCUUCGGAUGCUGACGAGUGGCGAACGGGUGAGUAAUACAUCGGAACGUGCCCGAGAGUGGGGGAUAACGAGGCGAAAGCUCUGCUAAUACCGCAUACGAUCUCAGGAUGAAAGCAGGGGACCGCAAGGCCUUGCGCUCACGGAGCGGCCGAGGGCAGAUUAGGUAGUUGGUGGGAUAAAAGCUUACCAAGCCGCCGAUCUGUAGCUGGUCUGAGAGGACGACCAGCCAAACUGGGACUGAGACACGGCCCAGACUCCUACGGGAGGCAGCAGUGGGGAAUUUUGGACAAUGGGCGCAAGCCUGAUCCAGCCAUGCCGCGUGCAGGAUGAAGGCCUUCGGGUUGUAAACUGCUUUUGUACGGAACGAAAAGACUUCUUCUAAUAAAGGGGGUCCAUGACGGUACCGUAAGAAUAAGCACCGGCUAACUACGUGCCAGCAGCCGCAGUAACAC
rnacentral:rRNA from 1 species